rnacentral:rRNA from 1 species
ACGGUGGUCUUCGGACAUAGUGGCGCACGGGUGCGUAACACGUCAUGCAACCUACCUUACAUUGGGGGAUAGCCUUCCGAAAGGGAGAUUAAUACCGCAUAAGACAGUAGCUGGGCAUCCAGCAGCUGUUAAAGAUUUAUCGAUGUAAGCUGGGCAUGCGUCCAAUUAGCUAGUUGGUGAGGUAACGGCUCACCAAGGCUUUGAUUGGUAGGGGAACUGAGAGGUCAAUCCCCCACACUGGCACUGAGAUACGGGCCAGACUCCUACGGGAGGCAGCAGUAGGGAAUAUUGGGCAAUGGACGCAAGUCUGACCCAGUCAUGCCGCGUGCAGGAUGAAGGCGUUAUGCGUUGUAAACUGCUUUUAUACAGGAAGAAACGACUCUUGCGAGAGGCAUUGACGGUACUGUAUGAAUAAGCACCGGCUAACUCCGUGCCAGCAGCCGCGGUAAUACGGAGGGUGCAAGCGUUGUCCGGAUUUAUUGGGUUUAAAGGGUGCGCAGGUGGUUUAUUAAGUCAGUGGUGAAAGACGGUCGCUCAACGAUUGCA